AUGGAGUACAUGAAUAAAGAGCUUGAUGAUAUGUCUAAGGAAUUUUAUGGUUGGAAUUCUCAGAUUGCUCGUCUUGAAAAAUCAAUAGCCCAAAUCUCUGAUAAGCAAGCCACCUUUGUUAAUAAGAUGGCUGCCAAACCAGAAGGGUUAGGGGAAAAUAGUGAUGAAGAUCUAAAAGUUAUUGAUGUGUUCCCUAUUAAAUCUUUGUUUUGCAAUAUGAAUCUUGAUAAUGAUGGGACUGGAGAUGAGUCAACUUCAGUUAAAAGGCGUCUCAAUGAUUCGGAGUUUUUAGAUCUUGAUGCUAAAUUUGGUAAAAGUGGGACUGGAGAGGUCAAAACUUUACAUAGCAUUGAACCCACUAUUAUGGAUUUCAAGGAAUUUAAUUAUGAUAAUUGUUCUUUAAUAGAUUGUAUUUCCUUGUUGCAAUCAGUGUUGAAUUCUCCUCAUGCUUAUAGUCAAAAUAAAGAUUUUACCAAACAUAUUGUUGAUGCCUUGAUGCAAUCUUAUGAAGAAAAACUUGAAUUGGAAGUUUCUAUACCUAGAAAACUUUAUGAUGAGUGGGAACCUACUAUAAAAAUUAAAAUUAAAGAUCAUGAAUGCUAUGCUUUGUGUGAUUUGGGUGCUAGUGUUUCGACGAUUCUGAAAACUUUAUGUGAUGUGCUAGGUUUCCAUGAAUUUGAUGAUUGCUAUUUAAACUUGCACCUUGCGGAUUCCACUAUUAAGAAACCUAUGGGAAGGAUUAAUGAUGUUCUUAUUGUUGCAAAUAGGAAUUAUGUGCCCGUAUAUUUCAUUGUUCUUGAUAUAGAUUGCAAUCUUUCAUGUCCUAUUAUUCUUGGUAGACCUUUCCUUAGAAUAAUUGGUGCAAUUAUUGAUAUGAAGGAAGGGAAUAUUAGAUUCUAA
rnacentral:rRNA from 1 species